AUAACCUACCUAUAAGACUGGGAUAACUUCGGGAAACCGGAGCUAAUACCGGAUAAUAUUUUGAACCGCAUGGUUCAAAAGUGAAAGACGGUCUUGCUGUCACUUAUAGAUGGAUCCGCGCUGCAUUAGCUAGUUGGUAAGGUAACGGCUUACCAAGGCAACGAUGCAUAGCCGACCUGAGAGGGUGAUCGGCCACACUGGAACUGAGACACGGUCCAGACUCCUACGGGAGGCAGCAGUAGGGAAUCUUCCGCAAUGGGCGAAAGCCUGACGGAGCAACGCCGCGUGAGUGAUGAAGGUCUUCGGAUCGUAAAACUCUGUUAUUAGGGAAGAACAUAUGUGUAAGUAACUGUGCACAUCUUGACGGUACCUAAUCAGAAAGCCACGGCUAACUACGUGCCAGCAGCCGCGGUAAUACGUAGGUGGCAAGCGUUAUCCGGAAUUAUUGGGCGUAAAGCGCGCGUAGGCGGUUUUUUAAGUCUGAUGUGAAAGCCCACGGCUCAACCGUGGAGGGUCAUUGGAAACUGGAAAACUUGAGUGCAGAAGAGGAAAGUGGAAUUCCAUGUGUAGCGGUGAAAUGCGCAGAGAUAUGGAGGAACACCAGUGGCGAAGGCGACUUUCUGGUCUGUAACUGACGCUGAUGUGCGAAAGCGUGGGGAUCAAACAGGAUUA
rnacentral:rRNA from 1 species